AUCGUUCUUGAAUCGUAAUCUCUCAGAGUGACCGUAGCUUUUACACGGUUUACACAGCUCGUGAACGCUGUAUUAUGUGUUGUUAAGCUUUGUUUUAUUUCAGUUCACACGCUGAAGAGUUAGGAGGUGUGAAUCCUAUAGUCUCGCGGGUGUCGUAGCGGACAGUUGUUGUGUUUAUCGUCGACGUGUUAGGCAGAUAAACGCUUUCUGCCAAUAAAUCGUCGAAUAAUUGUCCAGCAACGCAGUUUUUUUUAUACCAUCUGGAAUUCACCAAUAGUGUUGAUCGAGUCGUGGAUCUGGUUUGACGCGAUAGACCAUUUCAUAAGUAGAGGCUGUUUCAGAGGAGGUGAACAUAAAAUUUGAAACUGAGUUCAGUAUACAGAAAUUGAACAGACACAUUUCAAGGUUAUUUCACUAAAAGCGGUCGGCAAUUUGUACAUUAAAGACAGUCAAUUACGCUCCAUACUAAAGGAAGAUUCCUAAUUGAGAAGGUCUAAGAAGAUACCACAAGAAAGAUGUUGCGAUUUUCUCGCUUUUUCCUUGCUGUCUUCAUGCUCGUUGCACUGAUGCAU